UGGUUGUGUGUGGUUGGGAGCUUGUUUACAGAACUGGGUUUGGAAGCUCAUUUCUUGAUUAUUCAUCUCCAGUUCCCAGACCAGGUGAUGCUUGCAUUUAAGCAGGAAUUGUGUGCCUGCCAUGUACCAUAUAUCUCAAACUCCCAGCUUCAUGGUCCUCAAAAAUGCUAUUUCAGGUGAUGGAUGAAACCAGCUUCCUUCGGACCAUAUCAGAAGGAGUACGUCUUCUGUCCAAGAAACCAGCAAGUGCAUGGUCAUCUGAAACAAUUCCAAAGGAUGCUGAGAAGCAUCUAGUGCUCAGAAGACCUCUAAAGCUGCCGGACAAGCGAUGACUACCUGUUCCCAAAUUUGGGAAUGGAAAAUCAGCAGCCAACUUUUAUAUUUUAAAGCUUUUAAGUGAUGGCUAUUUGGCUUGGUGAGAAGGAAGGUGGCCGAAUCACGUGCAUGAGGAACAUUUGAUAUGCGUCCAUCUGGGUUCUUGCUAUUCUUGAAGAUGCCUGCACAGAAUUCCACCCCCUACCCCGAACACCUCCUCUGUUCUCCUCAAAGGCCCAUGAUGGCCAUUUACCAAAUAUAUUGUACCGU